rnacentral:lncRNA from 1 species
GCAGAGGCGGAAGUGACUCGGCGCGGCUCGGAAGCCCACGGGCUUGCGCGUUGCCUAGGGUUCACUGGGGCGAGCAAUAAGAUAUUGUCCAGGGCUUUCUCACAGCUCCUAGAGACGGACCUCAGACGUGCAUCACGUGGACCUCUGAAAACAUGGAGCUCAUUGCUCCAAAGCCAACUGGAGAGCUUCUCCCAAUCCUGCUGCUGCUGCUGCUACAGCUGCUUACAACAGCCAUUGUCGUGGCUAGAGUCUUAUAUUCACUGUGACACCAUAGGAGAAAUGAUUCCACUUUUGCUGUAUUACAUAAACUAAUAAAAGGAGGAACACCCCACUAUACUCUCAAACCCUGUCUGUACUCAGGGAGAGGUUAUAACCUCAUCAAGGAUCUUUGGAGCCAUUUUUUAGGUCUUGGCAACCAUGGCUCUUGAAUGGGUAACUGCUGGCAGAACAUGAAAUCCUUCUUAAACUGACUGUCCAGUUCUUUCUUUGACAUUCUCUUGAGAACAGCCACUAGUUUAUUAGUGUGCUUAGCAAAUAUGAAUUUCCAAUAUAAAUCAAUAUGGACAUUCAUGUUUCACAGACUUCAAAGUUACAUCUAUGAGCAUAUUUUGUCACAUAGUCUUCCUUACAAUUUAAAAUAAAUGCAUUGUAAAAAAUG